rnacentral:rRNA from 1 species
GAUGAACGCUGGCGGCGUGCCUAAUACAUGCAAGUCGAGCGAACAGAUGAGGAGCUUGCUCCUCUGACGUUAGCGGCGGACGGGUGAGUAACACGUGGAUAACCUACCUAUAAGACUGGGAUAACUUCGGGAAACCGGAGCUAAUACCGGAUAAUAUAUUGAACCGCAUGGUUCAAUAGUGAAAGACGGUUUUGCUGUCACUUAUAGAUGGAUCCGCGCCGCAUUAGCUAGUUGGUAAGGUAACGGCUUACCAAGGCAACGAUGCGUAGCCGACCUGAGAGGGUGAUCGGCCACACUGGAACGGAGACAGGGUCCAGACUCCUACGGGAGGCAGCAGUAGGGAAUCUUCCGCAAUGGGCGAAAGCCUGACGGAGCAACGCCGCGUGAGUGAUGAAGGUCUUCGGAUCGUAAAACUCUGUUAUUAGGGAAGAACAAAUGUGUAAGUAACUAUGCACGUCUUGACGGUACCUAAUCAGAAAGCCACGGCUAACUACGUG